rnacentral:rRNA from 1 species
AUUGAACGCUGGCGGCAGGCCUAACACAUGCAAGUCGAGCGGAUGAGAGGAGCUUGCUCCUCGAUUCAGCGGCGGACGGGUGAGUAAUGCCUAGGAAUCUGCCUGGUAGUGGGGGACAACGUUUCGAAAGGAACGCUAAUACCGCAUACGUCCUACGGGAGAAAGCAGGGGACCUUCGGGCCUUGCGCUAUCAGAUGAGCCUAGGUCGGAUUAGCUAGUUGGUGAGGUAAUGGCUCACCAAGGCGACGAUCCGUAACUGGUCUGAGAGGAUGAUCAGUCACACUGGAACUGAGACACGGUCCAGACUCCUACGGGAGGCAGCAGUGGGGUAUAUUGGACAAUGGGCGAAAGCCUGAUCCAGCCAUGCCGCGUGUGUGAAGAAGGUCUUCGGAUUGUAAAGCACUUUAAGUUGGGAGGAAGGGUUGUAGAUUAAUACUCUGCAAUUUUGACGUUACCGACAGAAUAAGCACCGGCUAACUCUGUGCCAGCCGCCGCGGUAACAC